rnacentral:rRNA from 1 species
UACGAAGGGGGCUAUCGUUGCUCGGAAUUACUGGGCGUAAAGGGAGCGUAGGCGGACAUUUAAGUCAGAGGUGAAAUCCCGGAGCUUAACUUCGGAACUGCCUUUGAUACUGGGUGUCUUGAGUGUGAGAGAGGUAUGUGGAACUCCGAGUGUAGAGGUGAAAUUCGUAGAUAUUCGGAAGAACACCAGUGGCGAAGGCGACAUACUGGCUCAUUACUGACGCUGAGGCUCGAAAGCGUGGGGAGCAAACAGG